GAUGAACGCUAGCGGCAGGCCUAACACAUGCAAGUCGAGGGGUAGAAGGAGCUUGCUCCUUUGAGACCGGCGCACGGGUGCGUAACGCGUAUGCAAUCUACCUUUUACAGAGGGAUAGCCCAGAGAAAUUUGGAUUAAUACCUCAUAGUAUUUAUCAUUCGCAUGUUUGGUAUAUUAAAGUUCCAACGGUAAAAGAUGAGCAUGCGUCCCAUUAGUUAGUUGGUAAGGUAACGGCUUACCAAGACGAUGAUGGGUAGGGGUCCUGAGAGGGAGAUCCCCAACACUGGUACUGAGACACGGACCAGACUCCUACGGGAGGCAGCUGUGAGGAAUAUUGGUCAAUGGACGCAAGUCUGAACCAGCCAUGCCGCGUGCAGGAAGACGGUCCUAUGGAUUGUAAACUGCUUUUGUACGGGAAGAAACACGCCUACGUGUAGGAGCCUGACGGUACCGUAAGAAUAAGGAUCGGCUAACUCCGUGCCAGCCGCCGCAGUAA
rnacentral:rRNA from 1 species